GACGAACGCUGGCGGCGUGCUUAACACAUGCAAGUCGAACGGGUCUGCCCUGUUUUUUGCGGGGUGGGUCAGUGGCGAACGGGUGAGUAACACGUGAGUAACCUGCCCCUCACUUCUGGAUAACCGCUUGAAAGGGUGGCUAAUACGGGGUGUUCUGGCUGUGCCGCAUGGUGUGGCUGGGAAAGAUUCACUUUUGUGGUGUUUUGGUGGGGGAUGGGCUCGCGGCCUAUCAGCUUGUUGGUGGGGUGAUGGCCUGCCAAGGCUUUGACGGGUAGCCGGCCUGGGGGGGUGGGCGGUCACACUGGGGCUGAGAUACGGCCCAGACUCCUGCGGGAGGCAGCAGUGGGGGGUAUUGCACAAUGGGCGGAAGCAUGAUGCAGCGACGUCGCGUGAGGGAUGGAGGCCUUCGGGUUGUGAACCUCUUUCGCCGGUGAAGAAGGUCCUGCUCUUUGUGGUGGGGUUGACGGUAGCCGGGUUAUGAAGCGCCGGCUAACUACGUG
rnacentral:rRNA from 1 species